rnacentral:tRNA from 1 species
ACCUGGGUGGCUCAGUCGGUUGGGCAUCUGACUUCGGCUCAGGUCAUGAUCUCACGGCUCGUGGGGUUCGAGCCCCACAUCAGGCU